rnacentral:tRNA from 1 species
GCCCUGGUAGCUUAGUGGUUAAUGCAUUGGACUGCUAAUCAAAAGGUCAGGAGUUCGAAACCUCCAGUGGCU